AAGGCAACGGUCUUGAAAACCGUCGACUGUAACAGGUCCUAGAGUUCGAAUCUCUAUCCUUCCGCCAAAUUACGCCGGCAUAGCU
rnacentral:tRNA from 1 species